UCUGGUGAUUAUGGCUUGAAGGUAACACCCGUUCCCAUACCGAACACGAUGGUUAAGCUUCAAAGCGCCGAUGGUACUGCACUGGAGACGGUGUG
rnacentral:rRNA from 1 species